AGGAUUCUCCCCAGUAACGGCGAGUGAACGGAGAUUAGCCCAUCACCGAAGUCUAUUCACGUUUGUGGACAAGACAAUGUGGUGUUCGGGCGUGCACCUGGGAAUGCUUGCCUACCCGAAGUCCAGCUCCGAUUAUGGCUUGGACCAUGCCCACAGCGGGUGAAAGGCCCGUACGGGUAGGAUGUGUUGUUUUUUGGCAUUCCUCAGAUGUGCAUGCUUUCGAGUCGGAUUGCUUGAGAAUGCAGUCCAAAGUGGGUGGUAAACUCCAUCCAAGGCUAAAUACUGGCACGAGUCCGAUAGUAGACAAGUACCGUGAGGGAAAGUUGAAAAGUACUCUGAAGAGAGAGUAAAUAGUACGUGAAGCCGCUUGCAGGGAAGCUGGUGGAGUCAAGCUUCAUGCCUGUGAAUUUGUUAUCAGGAAACAUUGAUGGUUGUUGGGAUCAUGACACUGACGGACCUGGAAAUGGUUUGUCGCAUUAACCGUGCGAUUCAAGCGUUACCGGGCUGUAGUGUUUGUGUCGGUGUCAUUUGAUCUCCCUUUCCUGGUACUGAAUUUCGCAAAAGGCAUACAUCACGAUCAAUAACGACUCGAAAUGUGUGAUUGUUUAACCGCGCCUGAUCGGGCAUUCGUGUCUAUCGGGCGUGGAACGGCAGGUGGCAUGUGGAGGUCUCGCUAUCUUCAUCAUGCUUAUUGAUGGUUUCGAUCUGCUAACAAUCAUGUUGUUGUAUUUUCACAUUAUCGGUCUUAUUGCUCUUUCGCGGGGGGUGUUCCUCGGAACGCCUCUCACUGAGAAUCGUGAUGCUGAGGUAGA
rnacentral:rRNA from 1 species